rnacentral:rRNA from 1 species
GGACCCGCACAAGCGGUGGAGCAUGUGGUUUAAUUCGAUGCAACGCGAAAAACCUUACCUACUCUUGACAUACUUGGGAGCUCUUGUAAUGAGAGUGUGCCUUUUGGAACCAAGAUACAGGUGCUGCAUGGCUGUCGUCAGCUCGUGUCGUGAGAUGUUCCGUUAAGUCGGAUAACGAGCGCAACCCUUACCCUUAUUUGCCAGCGAUUCGGUCGGGAACUAUAAGGGGACUGCCGGUGAUAAACCGGAGGAAGGUGAGGACGACGUCAAGUCAUCAUGGCCCUUACGAGUAGGGCUACACACGUGCUACAAUGGGGAAUACAGACGGACGCUAAGCCGCGAGGUGGUGCUAAUCCUAGAAAGUUUCUCGUAGUCCGGAUUGGAGUCUGCAACUCGACUUCGUGAAGUUGGAAUCGCUAGUAAUCGC